UCGUUCGUUUUUUGAAACGCUCCAAACAAUUUUGGUUUAAGUAUGCAACCACGUUCGUCUGUAAGCUGCAGGGUGUUAGUAGAGCUCUCGUCUCGUGCAACGCAAUCGCGUACCUACGUCAACAACAGAAUAAGUUUCGCGAUCGAACCAUCGUACGGAUGCAUUUAAGACUUACCUGAAGAUCGAAAGCAGGAUCUCCUUCCACGGUUACGACCAGCGUCAUGGUUUCUCCGAUUUUAACCAAACCAUCGGCUAUCGGAGCGAACGGACCUUUCCCGAUUUGUAUGUCUAAUUUAGCUACCGCCGUGUCACCGCUGAACGUCACGAUCUCCUGAUUGAGCAUAUCCACGGAUAAAUUUACCGAAAGCGCCUUGUUGAUGUUACCCUCCCAAAGACAACGUACUCUUCGCACGGUAUCCCAGACCUCUUGUAUCCCUGGCUCGUUCUGCAAAGAUUUUUGUUUGAAUGUCUGAUAAUAGAAAAAUAAAUGCGUUCGCUGUUGGAACUAUCUAGAAC